ensembl:lncRNA novel transcript
GGCCUUUGUCUUUCGCUCCAGGUAGAGCUUGGGGUUAGUACAUCACUGGCCUGCGUGCUCCGCUCCAGGAGGUCUCGGUGAUUCUGCCACAGCCUCAUCCUCCGUCGCCCUGUGACCUACUGGUAUUGGAACAUUCAUAGCUAAGACUCCAGGACACCCACAAAGCCGAGAAAUGCUGAGUUUGCGGGUCAGGGCGUCCGGAGACUGGGGAGGCCUCAUCGGAGUCGGCCGGAAAUGGCGGUGGCGGGACCGAGUCUGUGAGCCUGAGCCCCCCUCAGCUCAGCCCUCAGUCUCCUCUGGUGCAGGGUACCCAGGCGUCCUGUACCGUUUCAGCACAGCGGCUUUGGCCCCAGCCUGUAGCCCUCUUUGCGCAGCUCUGCGCCCGCAUCUUCCCCAGCUUGUGAGGUGAUGAGGAGAGGUUCACCAGGGAAAGACGCCGACUUGGUGUGCAGGGCUUCUGCGUGGAAGGAGCUCUGGUCUGUGGGGUCACCAGUCCCUACUUUAACCUAUUCAGACAUAAACGGAGGCACCAUUAAAACAUUAAAGAAUUUAUAUGAGCAAACAGUGAUGAACCAGU